rnacentral:rRNA from 1 species
UACGUAGGGUGCAAGCGUUGUCCGGAAUUAUUGGGCGUAAAGAGCGUGUAGGCGGUUAUGCAGGUCCGCUGUGAAAACUGGAGGCUUAACCUCCAGACGUCGGUGGAAACCGUAUGACUAGAGUCCGGAAGAGGAGAGUGGAAUUCCUGGUGUAGCGGUGAAAUGCGCAGAUAUCAGGAAGAACACCCGUGGCGAAGGCGGCUCUCUGGGACGGUACUGACGCUGAGACGCGAAAGCGUGGGGAGCGAACAGG